UUGGUUGUCCCCACUCCUUGAGAGCUUUCUCCGCCGCAGCACUGCCGAUCUCAGGAACCGCUUCCAUCGCCAGAGCCUGUCUCUUGUCCAGAGACGACCCAUCGAACUUACAAAGCUCGGGGUUCUUUUCCAGAAUCUCGUCGGUAAGAUACAUAUACCGCUUUUCGAUCAUCGACUUGUCACCUGCCGUCGCAAAUUAAAUUCAAACAAUGGAAUGAUUAGUUACACUUAAUUAAACCCUGGUUAAUUAAAUUGUGUAUAAAUGCAUGCAUGUAAGAAGAACUAAUUAAGGAGCCAUGCUUACAGAUGCGUUGGAACUUUGCUUUGUAAUCAACCAUGUGCUCGCUGUUGGUGAUACGGAAAUACUUAUCGGGAAAGUUCUUCUGGUCGACGACAUUUGCCGGAGUUUCUGUUCCGAUGGCUAGAAUAGUCGCCGGACCUUUCGACCUUUGGGAC
rnacentral:lncRNA from 1 species